UUGGUACUCCCUCCGUCCGGAAAUACUUGUCCUCGAAAUGAAGAAAAUGGAUGUAUUUAUAACUAAAAUAAGUCUAACCAUUUCUAGGACAAGUAUUUCCGGACGGAGGGAGCACGUG
rfam:Triticum aestivum genome assembly, contig: Triticum_aestivum_CS42_TGACv1_scaffold_062720_1DL